rnacentral:misc_RNA from 1 species
GCUACUUUUGGUCGCUGAACCAGC